GUGGGUUUGCACUGGUUCCCUGACGGGUGACCUGGGACUUUCGUCACCAGGGUCCGGUCGGGGCAUGACAUCACCAGACCAGGCUCUCAUUGGCCGCCGCGGCCAGCAGGUGGGAGCGGCCUGGACCCGGAGCCCCCAGCCUGAUCGGUAGGGCCUGAGCCGCCAGGACCCCCACGACCCACCCUCCAGAGGGUCACCCAUGGGAACAGUGCGGCCGCGGCGGCGUCCCCACGCCCGAGCGACUCUGGGUCGUGACGCGCUCGCCCGUGAGAUGUGAGAGGCACACACCUUCAAGGAGCUCCCAGUGGGCCUGGCAUAGAGAAACCCCCAAUUGUGGCGAAUGGCACUUUGACCUCUGCCUUCAAAUAUUUGCCCCUGGACUCAAGUCCUUUCCUACACCCACCUCUACCUCCUCCGAGCUUUCUGGACCCCCUUCACUCUUCAGAUCACCAGAACUGAGGCACCAUCUAACUGUGUCACCUUGUGCUGGAGCUGACGUCACCUCCUGGUCUGAAUUCACAUGGGAAAGCCAUUUCUUGACUGAAUGGGACUUCCAUGGAAGAAUCCACUUUCCUGGGAAGCAGCCUGCAUUACCUUAUGUUUGAAAUUAUUGUUGUUACUGGCUUUUUUACUGAUAGUAAGCGUUCAUUUUUAAAAACUGUGGUAAAAUAUGCAUAACAUAAAAUUUACCAUCUCACCCAUUUUUAACUGUAUGGUUCAGUGGUAUUAAGUACAUUCACAUUAUUGGGCAGCCGUCACCACCAUCCAUCUGUGUAGCUCCUUUCAUCUUGUAAAACUGAAAUUCUAUGCUCAUUCAAUAACAAUUUCCCAUUUUCUCCCCCACCCCCUCCUCACCAGCCUCUGGGAACCACUAUUCACUUUCAACAGUGAUCUCAAUAGAGAUCAUUUGUCUCUUGGAUCACGAGUCUCUUGUAGACACAGUUGGAGCGUGAGUUUUUACCCAUUCUGCUCAUUUCUGUCUCUUGACUUUAAUUUCACCUUGGAGGACUCCUUGAAACAUUUAUUGAAGGACAAGUCAGUGGUCAUGAACUCUCUCAGCUUUUGUUUAUCUGGGAAUGUCUCUUUUUUUAAAUGUUUGUUUUUGAGACGAGAGAGAGAGAGAGGAGGGAAUGGGCAGAGAAAGAUGGAGACACAGAAUCCAAAGCAGGCUCCAGGCUCUGAGCUGUCAUCGCAGAGCCUGAUGUGGGGCUCGAACUCAUGAGCUUUGGUUGUAAGCUUUCAGUCCAA